ensembl:lncRNA
GUCAGGAAAUUUCCUAAGAUAGAUCAGUCACAUUCUCUUUUUUCCUGUGAGUGGUUCUGCACUAUUUUGGGUGCAUCCCUUUAGCUUGGGGUGGCUGUACAGAGGCCCGGAAUCCCCCUCCCCUAUGGGAUCAGCAUGGUGCCAUCCUGAAAUAUUCCCCCAUGGCAGGAGAUGUGGUAAGGUGGAUGGAACACAUUUCCUUUUUCAUGUGAGCAGUUCUGAGCCAUUUUGGAAGCAUCUCAUUAGAUGGGAGUGGCCGAACUUCGGCACAGAAACCAACUCCAAUAUUAGACCAACGUCAUGACAUCCUGAAAUAUUUCCCUGUUGCAGGAGAUGUGGUAAGGUGGAUGGAACGAAUUCUCUUUUUUCCUGUGAGUGUUUCUGAGCCAUUUUGGAAGCAUCUGAUUAGCUGUGAUCAUUGGUAUGGUGGCCCGGAAGCCACCUCAAAUAUUGGAGUGGCAUGGUGCCAUGCCAAAUGCUCCCUCAUGGCAGGAUAUUUGGUAAGGUAGAUGGAACACAUUCCCUUUUUUCUUGUGAGCCAUUCUGAUUCAUUUCAGAAGCAUCACAUUAGCUGGGAGUGGCUGUACAGUGGCCCGAAAUCCCCCUCCACUAUGGGAGUGUCAUGGUGCCAUCCUGAAAUAUUUCCCCAUGGCAAGAGAUGUGGUAAGGUGAAUCGAACACCUUCUCUUUAUUCCUGUGAUAUUUUCUGAGCCAUUUUGGAAGCAUCCCAUUAGCUGGGAGCUGCUAUACAGUGGCCAGGAAGCCGCCUCCACUCUGGGAGCAGCAUUGUGCCAUCCCAAAAUAUUUCCCCGUGGCAGGAGAUGUGAUAAGGUGGAUGGAACACAUUCUCUUUUUUCCUGUGAGCAGUUCUGAACCAUUUUGGAAGCAUUCCAUUAGCUGCAAAUGGUCGUCCAGUGGCACACAAUCAGCCUCCACUACUGGAGUGAGGUAGUGCGAGGCCACAAUCCUCCCCCAUGGCAUGAGAUGUGGUAUGACAGAUUGAACGCAAUCUCUUCUUCUUGUGAUAGGUUAUAAAAAAUUUUGGAAGCAUCCUGUUAGCUGGGAGAGGCCAUAUGGUGGCCUGGAAUCUACCUUCACUCCUGGUGUUGGGUAGUGCCUGGCCAGAAUCCUCUCCCUUGGCAGGAGAUGUGGUAUGGCAGAUUGAACACAAUCUCUUUUUUCCUGUGAUAUUUUUCUGAGCCAUUUCUGAAGCAUCCCAUUAGCUGGGAGUGGCCAUACAGUGGCCAGGAAGCCACCUCCACACUCUUAGCAGCAUUUUGCCAUACCAAAAUAUUCCCCCGUGGCAGGAGAUGUGUUAUGUUCAUUGGAACGCAUUCUCUUUAUUCCUGUGAGUGGUUCAGAGCCAUUUCAGAAGAAUUCCAUUAGCUUGGAGCAGACAUACAGUGGACUGGAAUUUGUCUCCACUAUGGGAGCAGCGUGGUGCCCUGCUAGAAUCCUCCCCGAGGGCAGGAGAUGUGGUAUUACAGAUUGAACAAAAUCUCAUUUUCCUGUAAUUGGUUCUGAGCCAUUUUGGGAAGCAUCCCAUUACCUGGGAGUGAUUGUACCAUGGCCUGGAAUCUGCCUCCACUAAGGGAGCAGCAUGGUCCCAGGACAGAAUCCUCCCCUGUGACAGGAGAUGUGGUAUGGUAUAUUGAACACAAUCUCUUUUUACUGUGAGUGGUUCUGAGCCAUUUCAGAAGAAAUCCAUUACCUGAGAGCAGCAGUAUGGUUGCCAGGAAGCCACCUCCACUAAGGGAGCAGCAUUGUGCCAUCCCAAAAUAUUCCCAGGUGGCAGUAGAUGUGGUAAGAUGGAUGGAAAACAUUCUCUUUUUUCCUGUGAGUGGUUCUGAGCCAUUUCAGAAGCAUCCCAUUAGCUGUGCUCAUCAGUACCUUGGCCCAGAGUCUGCCUCAAGUAUGGGAGCAGCAUAGUGCCAUGCCCGAAUCUACCCCCAUUGCAGCAAUUUGGUAACAUAGAACGAAUGCAUUCUCUUUUUUCCUGUGAGCUGUUCUGAGCCAUUUUGGAAGCAACCUAUUAGGAGUUGUGGUUCGGUGGCCAGGAAGAUGUCUCCACUUCGGGAGCAGCAUUGUGUCAUCCCAAAAUAAUCCCCCAUGGCAGGAGAUGUUUUAAGGUGGACUGUACACAUUCUCUUUUCUCUUGUGAGUGGUUCUGAGCCAUUUCAGAAGCAUCACAUUUAGAGCAGCCAUAUGUUGUCCCAGAAUCCACCUCCACUACUGAAGCAGGGUAAUGCCAGGCCAGAAUCCUCCACUUUAGCAGGAGAUGUGCUGUUGCAGAUCGAAUGCAAUCUCUUUUUUCCUGUUAUUGGUUCUGAGAAAUUUUGGAAGCAUCCCUUUAGCUGGGAGUGACAACAUUUUGGCCAGGAAGCUGCCUCCUCUAUGGGAGCAGCAUUCUGGGAUCCCAAAAUAUUCCCCGUGGCAGGUGAUGUGGUAAUGUAGAUCGAACACAUUCUCUUUUUUACUGUGAGUGGUUCUGAGCCAUUUCAGAAGCAACCCAUUAGCUGGGAGUGGGAGUAGGGUGGCCAGGAAGCCACCUCCACUAUGGGAGAGGCAUUGUGCCAUCCCAAAAUAUUCCCCUGUGGCAGAUGUGGUAAUGUGGAUGGAAAGCAUUCUUGUUUUUCCUGUGAGCAGUUCUGAGCCAUUUCGGAAGCAUCCCAUUAGCUGGGAGCGGCUGGGAGGUGGCCUGGAAGCCGCCUCCACUAAUGGAGCAGGGUAGGGCCAGGCCAGAAUCCUCCCCCGUGGCUGGAGUUGUGGUAUGGCAGAUGGAACGCAGUCUCUUUUUUCUUAUGAUGGUUUCUGAGCCAUUUUGGAAGCAUCCCGUUAGCUGGGAGUGGCCGAACAGGUGGCCCGGAAUCUGCCUCCUCUAUGGGAGUAGUGUGGUACCUUGCCAGAAUCCUCCCCCUUGGCAGGAAUGUGGCAAGGUAGAUGGAACUGAAUCUGUUUCUUCCUGUGAGUGGUUCUGAGCCAUUUUGGAAGCAACCCAUUAGCUGUGUCCAGUGGUAUGGGGGACAGGAAGCCACUUCCACUAGGACAUCAGCAUUGUGCCAUCCCAAAAUAUUCCCCCAUGGCAGGACAUGUGGUAAGGUGAAUGGAACGCAUUAUCAUUUUUCCUGUGAGCAGUUCUGAGCCUUUUCGGAAGCAUCCCAUUUCUGGGAGUGGCCAUACGGUGGCCAGGAAGCCACCUCCACUUUGGGAGUGGAGUGGUGCCAUGCCAGAAUCCUCCACUGUGGCCGGAGAUGUGGUAAAGUAGAUCGAAUGCAAUCUGCUUUUUACUGUGAGCUGUUCUGAGCCAUUAUGGAAGCAUCCCAUUAGCUGGCAUCAGACAUACGGUGGCCAGGAAGCUGCCUUGACUACUGGAACAGGGUAUUGCCAGGCCAGAAUACUCCGCCAUAGCAGGAGAUGUGGUAUGGCAGGUCAAAAGCUUUCUCUUUUUUCCUAUGAGUGUUUCUGAGCCCUUUCAGAAGCAUCCCAUAAGCUGUGAUCAUCAGUAGGGUGGCCUGGAGUCUGCCUCCACUCUGGGAGCAGCAUGGUGCCAUGUCAGAAUCCUCCCCCAUUGCAAGAAAUUUGGUAACAUAGAUCGAACACAUUCUGUUUUUUCCUGUGAGUGGUUCUGAGCCAUUUUGGAAGCAACCCAUUAGCUGGGAGUGGCAGUAUGUUGGCCAGGAAGAUGCCUCCACUGCAGUAGUGCCAUUUUGCCAUCCCAAAAUAUUCCCCCGUGGCAGGAGAUGUGGUAAGGUGGAUGGAACACAUUCUCUUUUUUCCUGUGAGCUGUUCUGAGCCAUUUGAGAAGCAUCCUGUUAGCUGUGAUCAUCGGUACUGUGGCCAGGUGUCUGCCUUCAAUUUGGGAGUGGCAUGGUGCCAUGCCAGAAUCCUCCCCCAUUACAGGAAAUGUGGUAAGGCAGAUUGAACGCAUUGUCUUUUUCCUGUGAGCAGUUCUGAGCCAUGUGAGAAGCAACCCAUUAGCUGGGAGUGGCAGAACGGUGGCUGGGAAGAUGCCUCCACUUGGAGAGCAUCAUUGUGCCAUUCCAAAAUACUCCCCUGUAGCAGGAGAUGUGGUAAGAUGGAUGGAACACAUUCUCUUUUUUACUGUGUGUGGUUCUGAACCAUUUUGGAAGCAUCCAAUUAGCUGGGAGUGGCUGUAAGGUGGCCUGAAGUCGGCUCCACUAUGGGCGUGGAGUGAUGCCUUGCCAGAAUCCUCCCCUGUGGCAGGAGACGUGUUAAGGUAGAUCGAACGAAAUCUCUUUUUUACUGUGAGAGGUUCCGAGCCAUUUCAGAAGCAUCCCAUUAAAUGGGAGUGUCCGUAAUGUGGCCCAGAAACAGCCUCCAAUAAGGUAGUGACAUGGUGCCAUCCCAAAAUAUUCCCCCUUGCAGGAGAUGUGGUAAGUUAGAUAGAACACACUCUCUUUUUUACUUUGAGAGGUUCUGAGUCAAUUUAGAAGCAUCCCGUUAGCUCAGAUCGGGCUUAUGUCAAACUGGAAGGCAACUCCAUUACAGGAGCAGUGUAGUGCCAGGACAGAAACCUCCUCUGUGGCAGGAGAUGUGGUAUCACAGAUUGAAAACCAACUCAUUAUUCCUGUGACAGGUCCUGAGCAAUUUUGGAAACAACCCGUUAGCUUGGAGUGGUGGUUCAUUGGCCAGGAUGACGCUUCCACUUUGAGAGCAGAAUUGUGCCAUCUCAAAAUAUUCCCCCAUGGUACGAGAUGUGGUAAGGUGAAUGGAACGCAUUCGGAUUAGGGUAAGUUCAUGGUGAGGGUUAAGGAUAAUGUAGAAUUUCAAGUACCUGGGUAUUGGAAUUUGUUCCUGGUGCUUAGGGUUAGGGAUAGGAUUAGUUUUGGGUUUAGGGUUCCAUUUCAUGUACCUGAUGUUUGGAGUGUGGGUAUGAUUUUGGGGGUUAGGGUUCUUCUUUUAGUAAGUGUCAUGGAUAGGGCUGAAAUUGAGGUACCUGAAAAUGACUUAGGGUUAGGGAAGGGUAAGUGUUAGGCUUAGGGUUAGGGUUAGGGUGAUAGAUAGCAUUGAAAUUGAAAUGCCUGUGUCUUCAAGUGUGGGAUGGAAAGUUAGUAUUAGUGUAAUUCAUGAUGAGGGUUAGGGAUACUGUAGAAUUUCAAGUACCUGUUUAUUGGAAUUUGGUCCUGUUGCUUAGGGUUAGGGUUAGGGAUAGGAUUAGGUUUAGCUUUAGGAUUCCAAUAAAUGUACCUGACGUUUGGAGUGUGGGUAAGAUUUUUAGGGUUACGGUUCUUAUUUUCGUAAUUGUCAUGGAUAGUGCUGAAAUAGAGCUACGUGAAAAUGGUUUAGGCUUAUGGUAGUGUUAGGGUUAGGGGUCGGUUAAGGGUGAUAGAUAGCAUUGAUAUUGAAAUUCUUGUGUCUUCAAGUGUGGGUUGGAAAGAUAGUAUUAGCGUAAGUACAUGGGGAGGGUGAGGGAUAAUGUAGAAUUUCAAGUACCUGUGAAUUGGAAUUUGGUCCUGCUGCUUAGGGUUAGGGAAAGGAUUAGGAUUAGAUUUAGGAUUCCAAUUCAUGCACCUGACGUUUGGAGUGUGUAGAUGAUUUUUCGGGUUAGGGUUCUUCUUUUUGUAAGUGUCAUGGAUAGUUCUGAAAUAGAGGUACAUGAAAAUGACAUAGGGUUAGGGGAGGGUAAGGGUUUGGGUUAGGGUUUAGGUGAUAAAUAGCAUGGAAAUUGAAAUGCCUGUGUCUUCAAGUGUGGGUUAGAAAAUUAGUUUUAGUGUAAAUUUAUGGUGAGGGUUAGGGAUAAUGUAGAAUUUCAAGUUCCUGGGUAUAGGAAUUUGGUCCUGUUGCUUAGGGUUAGGGUUAGGAGUAGGUUUAGGUUUAGGAUUCCAAUUCACGCACCUGACGUUUGGAGUGUGGGUAUGAUUUUUAGGGAUAGGGUUCUUCUUUUCGUAAAUGUCAUGGAUAGUGCUGAAGUAAAGGUACAUGAAAAUGACUUAGGGUUAG